AUUGAACGCUGGCGGCAGGCUUAACACAUGCAAGUCGAGCGGGGGAAGGUAGCUUGCUACUGGACCUAGCGGCGGACGGGUGAGUAAUGCUUAGGAAUCUGCCUAUUAGUGGGGGACAACAUCUCGAAAGGGAUGCUAAUACCGCAUACGUCCUACGGGAGAAAGCAGGGGAUCUUCGGACCUUGCGCUAAUAGAUGAGCCUAAGUCGGAUGAGCUAGUUGGUGGGGUAAAGGCCUACCAAGGCGACGAUCUGUAGCGGGUCUGAGAGGAUGAGCCGCCACACUGGGACUGAGACACGGCCCAGACUCCUACGGGAGGCAGCAGUGGGGAAUAUUGGACAAUGGGGGGAACCCUGAUCCAGCCAUGCCGCGUGUGUGAAGAAGGCCUUAUGGUUGUAAAGCACUUUAAGCGAGGAGGAGGCUACUCUAGUUAAUACCUAGGGAUAGUGGACGUUACUCGCAGAAUAAGCACCGGCUAACUCUGUGCCAGCCGCCGCGGUAA
rnacentral:rRNA from 1 species